UACGUAGGGGGCUAGCGUUGUCCGGAAUCAUUGGGCGUAAAGAGCGUGUAGGCGGCCAGGUAGGUCCGUUGUGAAAACUCGAGGCUCAACCUCGAGACGUCGAUGGAAACCAUCUGGCUAGAGUCCGGAAGAGGAGUGUGGAAUUCCUGGUGUAGCGGUGAAAUGCGCAGAUAUCAGGAGGAACACCAAUGGCGAAGGCAGCACUCUGGGACGUGACUGACGCUGAGACGCGAAAGCGUGGGGGAGCAAACAGG
rnacentral:rRNA from 1 species